GACGAAGCGUCCGAACGUUAUUCGGAAUUACUGGGCGUAAAGCGCUCGUAGGCGGAUCGAUCAGUCAGGGGUGAAAUCCCAGAGCUCAACUCUGGAACUGCCUUUGAUACUGUCGAUCUGGAGUAUGGAAGAGGUGAGUGGAAUUCCGAGUGUAGAGGUGAAAUUCGUAGAUAUUCGGAAGAACACCAGUGGCGAAGGCGACUUACUGGACACAUAUUGACGCUGAGGUGCGAAAGCGUGGGGAGCAAACAGG
rnacentral:rRNA from 1 species